CUGGAGCAGCUGCUGUUGCACAAAAGGGUGAAUGGUGGCGCUGUUUCGAAAACCAGUGUAAACAAAGAAGAGGAGUAUCCCGGAUAAGAGAAGAGAGUGGUGCUGAGUUCU